CCUACGGGAGGCUGCAGUGGGGAAUAUUGGGCAAUGGGCGCAAGCCUGACCCAGCAAUGCCGCGUGAAGGAAGAAGGCUUUCGGGUUGUAAACUUCUUUGACAGGGGAAGAGCAGAAGACGGUACCCUGAAAACAAGCCACGGCUAACUACGUGCCAGCAGCCGCGGUAAUACGUAGGUGGCAAGCGUUGUCCGGAUUUACUGGGUGUAAAGGGCGUGUAGCCGGGAAGGCAAGUCAGAUGUGAAAUCUGGAGGCUCAACCUCCAAAUUGCAUUUGAAACUGUUUUUCUUGAGUACUGGAGAGGCAGACGGAAUUCCUUGUGUAGCGGUGAAAUGCGUAGAUAUAAGGAGGAACACCAGUGGCGAAGGCGGUCUGCUGGACAGCAACUGACGCUGAGGCACGAAGGCCAGGGGAGCGAAAGGGAUUAGAUACCCCUGUAGUC
rnacentral:rRNA from 1 species